rnacentral:rRNA from 1 species
GAUGAACGCUGGCGGCGUGCCUAAUACAUGCAAGUCGAGCGAACGGACGAGAAGCUUGCUUCUCUGAUGUUAGCGGCGGACGGGUGAGUAACACGUGGAUAACCUACCUAUAAGACUGGGAUAACUUCGGGAAACCGGAGCUAAUACCGGAUAAUAUUUUGAACCGCAUGGUUCAAAAGUGAAAGACGUUCUUGCUGUCACUUAUAGAUGGAUCCGCGCUGCAUUAGCUAGUUGGUAAGGUAACGGCUUACCAAGGCAACGAUGCAUAGCCGACCUGAGAGGGUGAUCGGCCACACUGGAACUGAGACACGGUCCAGACUCCUACGGGAGGCAGCAGUAGGGAAUCUUCCGCAAUGGGCGAAAGCCUGACGGAGCAACGCCGCGUGAGUGAUGAAGGUCUUCGGAUCGUAAAACUCUGUUAUUAGGGAAGAACAGAUGUGUAAGUAACUGUGCACAUCUUGACGGUACCUAAUCAGAAAGCCACGGCUAACUACGUG